rnacentral:rRNA from 1 species
GUGCCAGCAGCCGCGGUAAGACGAAGGAUGCAAGCGUUAUCCGGAUUCAUUGGGUUUAAAGGGUGCGUAGGCGGCCCUGUAAGUCAGUGGUGAAAUCUCUCAGCUUAACUGAGAAACUGCCAUUGAUACUGCAGGGCUUGAGUACAGAUGAUGUUGGCGGAAUAUGACAUGUAGCGGUGAAAUGCAUAGAUAUGUCAUAGAACACCGAUUGCGAAGGCAGCUGACAAAACUGUAACUGACGCUGAGGCACGAAAGUGUGGGGAUCAAACAGGAUUAGAAACCCCGGUAGUCC